rnacentral:rRNA from 1 species
CCUACGGGCGGCAGCAGUGGGGAAUAUUGGACAAUGGGCGAAAGCCUGAUCCAGCCAUGCCGCGUGUGUGAAGAAGGCCUUCGGGUUGUAAAGCACUUUCAGUGGGGAAGAAAGCCUUGGGGCUAAUACCCUCGAGGAAGGACAUCACCCACAGAAGAAGCACCGGCUAACUCCGUGCCAGCAGCCGCGGUAAUACGGAGGGUGCGAGCGUUAAUCGGAAUUACUGGGCGUAAAGCGCGCGUAGGCGGUCUGAUAAGCCGGUUGUGAAAGCCCCGGGCUCAACCUGGGAACGGCAUCCGGAACUGUCAGGCUAGAGUGCAGGAGAGGAAGGUAGAAUUCCCGGUGUAGCGAUGAAAUGCGUAGAGAUCGGGAGGAAUACCAGUGGCGAAGGCGGCCUUCUGGACUGACACUGACGCUGAGGUGCGAAAGCGUGGGUAGCAAACAGGAUUAGAUUACCCCAGUAGUC